CGGCGGGUGACACACAUUUCCUCUCGCGCAAAGCUCACAGAUGUAGUCUUAGGGCUCUUUCUUUUCUUUGCCUACCCCUGGUAGUAUCGGAGGGUCGAUACGCAUGUGCAUGAAUUAAAGAUUUUUUUCUCCAAUUAUGCAUACGAGUACAACUUUUGCUGGCGUCUUCUGAGACUUGAGAAUUUCACCGUAUUCUGUGUGAACGACGGAUGGCCGUCAGGUUAUUAAAUGCUGCGGGAUGUUUACCGAUGCGCCUUGUCGGAUUAAGUUGGAGUGCCAGCAAAUAACGCGUUUUGAAGUGUUUUCCGCCACGGAGCCAAAUCUGAACCGAUGAUGGUUUUAGUUCGUCUGUAAUACUGCUCGGACUACAGGUAAAAGUCUUUGUCCACCCUGGUGCCGUGGAGUGGAUCCUGACAGACUGAAGCUGCGCGGUUACCGCAGGGAUCAAGUGCGCGCAGCUGAUAUGGGUCCUGUUGUGUGUGACAAGAGAUUAGCGGGCCUCAUCUUUCUCCAAGCCUCUUCGCUUCUGCUGUUUGGUUCUGGUGAAAGGAUGUGCCCCUAUAGCUGCAACUGCGAGGGAAAGAUCGUCCAUUGUGAGUCAUCCGGCUUCCAGGACAUCCCUGAAAACAUUUCUGUUGCUUGCCAAGGUCUGUCCCUGCGCUACAAUAACCUGCACACAAUGCUCCCCUACCAGUUUGCCCAUCUCAACCAGCUGCUCUGGCUCUACCUGGACCACAACCAAAUUGAAUUUGUGGAUAGCCGUGCUUUUCAGGGGGUGCGUCGGUUGAAAGAGUUGAUCUUGAGCUCUAACCGGAUAUCACAGCUGCACAACGUCACUUUUCACGGAGCACCAAACCUCCGCAGUCUCGAUCUCUCUUAUAACAAGUUGCAGGAGCUGCAGCCAGGCCAGUUUUUUGGUCUUCGAAAACUGCAGAAUCUGCACUUGCGUUCCAACGGGCUCACUACCAUCCCUGUCCGGGCGUUUCUGGAGUGCAGGAGUUUGGAGUUUCUGGAUUUGGGCUACAAUCGGCUUCGUGUUGUCACUCGCACGGCAUUCCUGGGGUUAUCGCGACUAAUGGAACUCCACCUGGAGCACAAUCAGUUUUCAAGAAUCAACUUCUUUCUCUUUCCUCGUCUGGUUAACCUUCGCUCCCUGUAUCUGCAAUGGAACCGCAUUCGAGCUGUCAAUCAAGGUCUUCCGUGGAGCUGGUACACCUUGCAGAAGCUUGAUAUUUCUGGCAACGAGAUACAGACACUCGAUCCUGUAGUGUUUCAAUGCCUUCCCAAUCUUCAGGUUCUCAACUUGGAGUCUAACAAACUGGCAAAUGUGUCCCAUCAAGUUGUGGCCGCUUGGAUUUCCCUGACAACUAUUAGUCUCGCUGGUAAUAUGUGGGACUGUGGGCUGGGCAUUUGUCCUCUUGUCGUAUGGCUCAAGAAUUUUAGAGGCACUAAAGACACUAGUAUAAUCUGCAGCAGUCCCAAGCACCUUCAAGGGGAGAAGGUUAUGGAGGCCACAAAAAACUUUAUUGACUGUGAUGAUUAUGAAAUCACCGCUCAGUCACCGUUGUAUCUCCAAACCUUCGAGCCAAGUUUUGAGCUCACUGUUGAACCCACAAUGGCUCCUACAACAUCCCCUCCACCCCUGCCUUCACCCGCUUCCGAGGCGCCCAUUCCUCCUCCCCAACCACAACCUCCUCAACGGCCCACCUUUCAUAGCCGUACACACACACACCCCAGGGACUCCCAUCACUGGACACCCUCAUCCUCCAACAGUUUAUUAGUGACCGCAGCUCCUGAUCCGGACAACGUUUCAUUCCACAAAGUGGUGAUGGGAGGCGUAGCGCUGUUUUUCUCCGUAUUGUUCAUCUUGUCAGUUAUUUACGUGUCCUGGAAACGAUACCCCGGUGCAACCAGGCUGCUUCAGCAGAAUUCAGUUGUGGGUCGAAAACGGAGGAAAAAGAGUCAGGAGCCAGAACAGAACCUGAGCUCCCAGCUCCAGGAAUAUUACAUGAGCUACAACCCGGCCGCCUCACCGGAAGCCAUGGAGGUGCUGGGCAAUGGGACUGGUACCUGCACCUGCACCAUAUCCGGCUCCAGGGAAUGUGAGGUAUGACAUGUGAAAGGCAGCCUAAAAACAAAUCAGAUCAAAACAAAUGAACGACUCAGGACAUAGAGAAUGAAUACACCUGUCCGAGACCAUUACCUGGAGCUUGGAUUGGAGACAUGCCCACCAUACACUAACGGGAAUGUUUUGUUCACCACAAAGUAAUCCACAGGUGGAUUUUUGUGCCUACCUGCAUUCUAACAAUCACAUCAACUUUUGUUCCCGUCAUGCCACUCAUUUUGUCACUGCUUCGAGAUCGUUCCGCAUAUCCCUGAAUCAUCACAAAUUGGACAUUUGAGAGACAGAACAGAUGCGGCAAAUCCUCAGAUGCAUAUUUGACAACAAUUCUCUUUGGAUGGCCCACUUUGUACUUUGUCUAAUUCAACUGGACGGACUUGACCAAACAGGUGGGUGUGUAGUUCAUUGGGGUUGCGAUAAAGCCUCCAGACGGACCAUAUGAAACAGGGUCACAGCGCUCAAAUAAAGAGCAAUGAAACAUAUCCAGCCUUUUAUGAAAUACCCAGCGCCAAAAUGAACUUUUGAUUGAAACUGUAUGUGGGAUCUUCACAUAAACUCUAAAUGUGACUGAACCACAGUCUUUGUUCAUACACCCUCGAAUAUAAAGCCCAUCCUUUGUUAUUUAAUGGAAAUCCUCAAAAUUUGUGUUUCAGAAUAUCUCAUAAUAAAAAUGACUUUGAGGUAAACCUCUUAUGUUUGCUGUCUAAUACUGGAUUUGUUUUGCAGGUCCACUGGAUUUACUCUGUACAGUUUUGUUUUAUUGAGAGCCCUUUAUAACAGCAAUAGACUUUGUGCUGUUAUGCAGACUUUAAACAUGGCCUAUGAACUCUGACUAUGCCAACACUGAUGUAAUGUCAUUUUAUUGGUCAGUGUGUAAACGUUGGGAUGUUUGUAAGCAAAUGUGUGUGUACAUGUCAAGAUUUAAAAUAAGAAUAACACAUUUUGAAAGCAAGUGUGUAAUUUUGUACCAUGUUAAAAUGCUGUAUUUUUCUUUAUCCUGGGUUAAUAAGCAGCUAUAAGGAAGCACUAACGCUAAAUUUUCCCUGUGUCUGAAAUCGCCUACUUUCAUCGGACACGCAUGCCUGGCCCUAAGUUAACUUCUGAUCUGUGUUUGGUUAGAAUAUAUAAUUAAAUAUUUUACAUUUAAUUUAUAUAAAUAUUAAUUUAUAUUCAUACGUUGUUGUAUAUUAAUUGUAUUAAAUUAAAACUACCCAACAGUUAUUGAUUCUUUGCGGAGGUCUACCGGAAGUUACGUUUGGGCCACAUAACAUUUGUUUAUGUUGUUGCCGCUGAAACCGUCUGUAGUAGGCAAAAAAACAUUUUGUGAAAAAAUACCCAGAUGGGCUAUGGCUUCUGCUGAGAUUUGAGAGUUGGCAUUACGUAUUCUAUUCUACGGACACUAUUCUAUCCCAUGAUGCCACGGGAGCUGAGCAACCACCGAUUUCAAAGAGUCAAAAUAAAAAAUAGCUGGUGUUUGUUUUCAAGUGCAAGUACCGAUAAAUGUAUUCCUCAUGAUUAAAUUACGUUCGUUUAUCAACAGCUACUUAUAUUAUUUUUGCGCCGUUGUUAAUACGUCAUAUACGCGUCACAUGACAAUGAAAACAUGGCGGGUGCAGUAUGUCCGAAUUGUAUUCAUACUGCACCCACACCUAUAAACACACUGUUUUAAUGGUUGAUAUCUAAAUGAUCCGAAUCAGUACGUACUGUCACAGUAUGCGAUUUCAGACGCGGUGACUGGCUUAAACUAUGUUUUAGGGCGGGGCUAUUUGUUCGCUCAACCAAUAGAAAACAGGUGGCGUAAAUAUUUCAUUGCAGUAUUAGGAAUGAUUUCAUUAUUAUCUAUUCAUUAUUUAUUUUUUACAAAGCUGACACAGUGGUACAGAAAUUACACACUUUACCUGUCAAAUGUGUGUUAAGGAUGAGAGUGCUUGUUUGUGUGUGUUCAGAUUUUUCAUCAACUGAUUGAAUAGAUGACCUGUUCAGUCUUUUAUUCAGGGUCCAUCUGCCCCUGAAUCCUGCAGUAUUGCCAUUUAAAAGUACAGCUGUUCUGUAAAAUAUCUUUGCUGCCCACUUUUAAUUUAUUAAUUACAUUUUGUAACACAAUAUAUAAAUUGUACACCACCAAUUUCUGUUUUCUAAUGAGAACUUUGUCAAAAUCAAUGGUGAGAAAUACACAUUUG